CGCGGGUUAGUGUAAUUAGUAACACAGGCGGCUCAUGUCCGUUUAUAGAGGUGCAAAUCCUUACCCGCCU
rnacentral:tRNA from 1 species